rnacentral:ncRNA from 1 species
GGGCAAACUUGUUGAAAAAUAAGGACGCAAAGCCACUGGGUCUAAAGACGAAGGUCCAUGAUCGCCAGGUUGCU